rnacentral:rRNA from 1 species
CCUACGGGUGGCAGCAGUGAGGAAUAUUGGUCAAUGGACGAGAGUCUGAACCAGCCAAGUAGCGUGCAGGAUGACUGCCCUAUGGGUUGUAAACUGCUUUUAUGCGGGGAUAAAGUGAGUUACGUGUAACUUAUUGCAGGUACCGCAUGAAUAAGGACCGGCUAAUUCCGUGCCAGCAGCCGCGGUAAUACGGAAGGUCCAGGCGUUAUCCGGAUUUAUUGGGUUUAAAGGGAGCGUAGGCCGUUUUUUAAGCGUGUUGUGAAAUGUACCGGCUCAACCGGUGAUGUGCAGCGCGAACUGGAAGACUUGAGUGCGUAGUAAGCAGGCGGAAUUCGUGGUGUAGCGGUGAAAUGCUUAGAUAUCACGAAGAACUCCGAUAGCGCAGGCAGCUUGCUGUAUCGC